UGGGGAAUCUUGCGCAAUGGGCGAAAGCCUGACGCAGCGACGCCGCGUGAGCGAUGAAGGCCUUCGGGUUGUAAACCUCUGUGGAGAGGGACGAAUAAGGGCGGGCUAAUACCCCGUUUGAUGACGGUACCUUUUUAGCAAGCACCGGCUAACUCUGUG
rnacentral:rRNA from 1 species